UACGAAGGGGGGCUAGCGUUGCUCGGAAUCACUGGGCGUAAAGCGCACGUAGGCGGAUCUUUUAAGUCAGGGGUGAAAUCCUGGAGCUCAACUCCAGAACUGCCUUUGAUACUGGGGAUCUCGAGUCCGGAAGAGGUGAGUGGAACUCCGAGUGUAGAGGUGAAAUUCGUAGAUAUUCGGAAGAACACCAGUGGCGAAGGCGGCUCACUGGUCCGGUACUGACGCUGAGGUGCGAAAGCGUGGGGAGCAAACAGGG
rnacentral:rRNA from 1 species